UGCGGGGUGGAGCAGUCUGGUAGCUCGUCGGGCUCAUAACCCGAAGGUCAGAGGUUCGAAUCCUCUCCCCGCUACCA
rnacentral:tRNA from 7 species